rnacentral:lncRNA from 1 species
ACAUACUCGUCCUGAGCCGGCUUCAGCCUCUCCGCGCAGAAGUCUCCCGGAGCCGACUUCUGAGAGUCGAGUACUCCUAUGUGAAGACUACCAAGCUCGUGUUCAAGGGAACCAAGGCGAAGAGGUGGGUCCUGCAGCUCUGGCGGGAGCCUUCUCAGUUCUUUUCGGACGCACUCCACCCCCGCGAAUCCGGUGGAAGUCGUGCCGCGGAGAGCUGGCUUUGUGGCAUCCCAGGCUUCGCCCUGGCGCCUGUCCGGGCUGGAUGGAGGCCAGAUAGCGGUUCCUGGCGCCUGUGCAGAGAGGGGCAGCCUCCCGCGCGGACGACCCUGGAAACAGGAUAGACGGGCGGGUGACCCGUGGCCCCGUACCCACGAGUUUGGGUCCCCUGAGGCAUCUCUCCAGGCCUCUGCCUGAUUUGCCCGAGGUUGACUGUACAUACAAAUAUUGAGCAUUUCCUCCUGGUCUCCGUGAUAAACAGAGGUUUUGAUAUUUUUAGGCGAGAUGGAAAGAAAGUAUCAAGGAGUGAGCUGAAGCCACUGCCCUUGAGAACCCUCUCGAGGAGUCUGGGCUCAUGAGGAUGCCAGAAUAAGUGGCAGUAAGAAGAAAAAGAACAAAGAUAAGAAAAGAAAAAGAGAAGAAGAUGAAGAAACCCAGCUUGAUAUGUUGGAAUCUGGUGGACAGUAACAAACUUUGGUGAAAUUUCAGGAACCAUAGCCAUUGAAAUGGAUGAGGGAACCUAUAUACAUGCACUCGAUAAUGGUCUUUUUACCCUGGGAGCUCCACACAAAGAAGUUGAUGAGGGCCCUAGUCCUCCAGAGCAGUUUUCGGCUGUCAAAUUAUCUGAUUCCAGAAUCACCCUGAAAUCUGGCUAUGGAAAAUAUCUUGGUAUAAAUUCAGAUGAACUUGUUGUUGGGCGUUCAGAUGCAAUUGGACCAAGAGAACAAUGGGAACCAGUCUUUAAAAUUGGGAAAAUGGCUUUGUCGACCUCAAAUAGCUGCUUUAUUAGAUACAGUGAAGCAGAGGACAUAGAAGCAAAAAGUAAAACAGCAGGAGAAGAAGAAAUGAUCAAGGCUCUCCUAAUCUCUGUCAGACCUUCACCUUUAUGACCUUGCCUUAUCUACCAGAACACAGAUCCCUCUUACUAAAGAUUAGAUCCUGUGCUGAAAGAGAAACCAAGAAAAAAGAUGACAUUCCAGAAGAAGACAAAGGAAAUAUAAAACAAUGUGAAAUCAA